rnacentral:rRNA from 1 species
AGAGUUUGAUCAUGGCUCAGAACGAACGCUGGCGGUAUGCUUAACACAUGCAAGUCGAACGAACGAGAUUUUAGCUUGCUAAAAUCAAGUUAGUGGCAAACGGGUGAGUAACACGUGGGAAUCUACCCAGUAGUACGGAAUAACAGUUGGAAACGACUGCUAAUACCGUAUAGUAUCGAGAGAUUAAAGAUUUAUCGCUACUGGAUGAGCCCGCGUCAGAUUAGGUAGUUGGUGGGGUAAUGGCCUACCAAGCCCAAGAUCUGUAGCUGGUCUGAGAGGAUGAUCAGCCACACUGGAACUGAGACACGGUCCAGACUCCUACGGGAGGCAGCAGUGAGGAAUAUUGGACAAUGGGCGAAAGCCUGAUCCAGCAAUACCGCGUGAGUGAAGAAGGCCUUAGGGUUGUAAAGCUCUUUCAGCAGGGAAAAUAAUGAUGGUACCUGCAAAAGAAGUUCCGGCUAACUCCGUGCCAGCCGCCGCGGUAAUAC